GACGAACGCUGGCGGCGUGCUUAACACAUGCAAGUCGAACGGAAAGGCCCUGCUUUUGUGGGGUGCUCGAGUGGCGAACGGGUGAGUAACACGUGAGUAACCUGCCCUUGACUUUGGGAUAACUUCAGGAAACUGGGGCUAAUACCGGAUAGGAGCUCCUGCUGCAUGGUGGGGGUUGGAAAGUUUCGGCGGUUGGGGAUGGACUCGCGGCUUAUCAGCUUGUUGGUGGGGUAGUGGAUUACCAAGGCUUUGACGGGUAGCCGGCCUGAGAGGGUGACCGGCCACAUUGGGACUGGGAUGCGGCCCAGACUCCUACGGGAGGCAGCAGUGGGGAAGAUUGCACAAUGGGCGGAAGCCUGAUGCAGCAACGCCGCGUGCGGGAUGACGGCCUUCGGGUUGUAAACCGCUGUCGCCUGUGACGAAGCGUGAGUGACGGUAAUGGGUAAAGAAGCACCGGCUAACUACGUG
rnacentral:rRNA from 1 species